rnacentral:rRNA from 1 species
CGGAUUGGAGUCUGCAACUCGACUCCAUGAAGCUGGAUUCGCUAGUAAUCGCGCAUCAGCCAUGGCGCGGUGAAUACGUUCCCGGGCCUUGUACACACCGCCCGUCAAGCCAUGGGAGCCGGGGGUGCCUGAAGUACGUGACCGCGAGGAGCGUCCUAGGGCAAAACUGGUGACUGGGGCUAAGUCGUAACAAGGUAAC